rnacentral:rRNA from 1 species
UGCGUAGGCGGCCGCUUAAGUAGGGUGUGAAAUGUCCCGGCUCAACCGGGGAAUGGCGCUCUAAACUGGGUGGCUCGAGUGAGAUAGAGGUGUGCGGAACUUCCGGUGGAGCGGUGAAAUGUGUUGAUAUCGGAGGGAACACCAUUGGCGAAAGCGGCACACUGGGUCUUAACUGACGUUGAGGCACGAAAGCCAGGGGAGCAAACG